UGAAACGCUAAAUAAAGAAAUAAGAAUAAAAUAAUAACUUGAAACAAAUCUUAGUUCGACAUAUGACUUGUAAGGAAGAGAGUAAAAAUGUCAUAACAUGCGGGUAACCGGUAAAGCCAUAGAAGCAAGUAACGAAUUUUUGACAGACGAGCGUUGAAAACGAUGUGACGUUUGUUAUUCAGAUACACACAAGUGACACCUGUUGGUUAUAUCUUUUGGAGAAACAGCUGGCAGACAAGCAAGCGAAAAAAGAAAUAAAUUUCGUACCAUCAUUGUUAAACUCUAGUGAUAACUAUUGAAAAAAAAUGUACUGUUACAAAUGAGUUUGUCACGUAGAAAUAGAAAAAUAUGUAAUUCCAAAGAUA